rnacentral:rRNA from 1 species
UAGUCAUAUGCUUGUCUCAAAGAUUAAGCCAUGCAUGUCUAAGUCCAAGCUGUGUUCACACGGCGAGACCGCGGACGGCUCAUUAAAUCAGUCGUGGUCCAAAUGGGCCAGUGCAAAUCCUACUUGGAUAACUGUGGUAAUUCCAGAGCUAAUACAUGCAACUGAUAUCCCGAAGGCGGUGUUUGGGCUUGCUUGCCUUGCGCUGCGCUGCUCUGACGGAUGCUUUUAUUAGACCAAGCCGCUGAGGACUUGAGGGUUCGCGCUCUCUUGUCUGACUCGUGUGAUGGUGACUCUGGAUAACCAAAUUCUGACAAGCGCACGUACUUCUCUUCUGAGCGAGACGGCGCUGCCACUUUCGAGUGUCUGCCUUAUCAGCUAUCAACCGUUCGUUAUGCGCGACCGAUGGCUUUGACGGGUAACGGGGAAUCAGGGUUCGAUUCCGGAGAGGCAGCCUGAGAGACGGCUACCACGUCCAAGGACGGCAGCAGGCACGCAAAUUACCCAAUCCCAGCAAAUGGGGGAGGUAGUGACGAAAUCUAACGAUGCGGGCGCCCUUUCUGGGGCCCCGCAAUCGGAAUGGGCACUUUCUAAACAACCUGUUGAGAACCUAC